GUCAGACGGUUAUGGCGUUUCCGGCCCCUCGGCCUCAGGCCCCGCGUUUCCCGAGGACACGGCUUCGGAGUUUCCCGAGCGGACAGCGCGCAGUGCGGGCCGUGCGCUUCAAUGUGGAUGGCAAUUACUGUUUGACCUGUGGCAGCGACAAAACUCUAAAAUUGUGGAAUCCACAUCGAGGAACACUCCUGAAGACCUACAGUGGCCAUGGAUAUGAGGUUCUGGAUGCUGCUGGAUCCUGCGACAAUAGCCAGAUUUGCUCAUGUGGAUCCGAUAAAACUGUUGUCCUCUGGGAUGUGGCUACAGGACAGCUGGUCCGGAAAUUCAGGGGUCAUGGAGGGAAAGUGAACUGUGUUCAAUUCAAUGAGGAAUCAACAGUCAUUGUUUCAGGCUCCAUUGACACCUCGGUUCGAUGCUGGGAUUGUCGCUCACGGACUUCGCAGCCUAUUCAAAUCCUGGAUGAAGCAAAGGAUGGGAUUUCCAGUGUGAAAGUUUCAGACCAUGAAAUUCUGUCAGGGUCUGUUGAUGGGCGAGUUCGGAGGUACGACUUACGGAUGGGACAACUCUUUGCAGAUUUUAUUGGAAGUCCAAUAACGAGCGUGUGUUUCAGCAAAGAUAGUCAGUGUACGUUGAGUUCGAGCCUGGACUCUACAUUGCGUCUGUUAGAUAAGGAGACUGGGGAGCUCCUUGGCGAGUAUACAGGACACAGGAACACAGAUUGCAAGCUGGACUGUUGCUUUAAUGAAUCUGACACACAUGUAGUGAGCGGCUCAGAGGAUGGGCUCGUGCAUUUCUGGGAUCUGAUCGAGGGAUCCUGCACACUCACCCUGUCUGUUGGGAAGGGUGUGGUACAGUCACUGAGCUACCAUCCCAUCCAGUGCUGUUUACUCACAGCCACUGAGGAUACUGUCCAGGUCUGGGGAGAUGACAGCGAUGAGGCAACCACACAGAGCCCGUCUUGACCGUCACCAGAACAGGACCACCUGCUCUGUGUACUACCAACAAACACCGACCUUUACACAGCCGUCUCUGAGUCUCAAUCAAAACAAUAAAGGCACAGGCUGGUACUCAUAACCAUGAGAAUAGUCAAGUUAAUGUCUUUAACUACUCCACAUCCAGCACUGAGAGUCUACUGUCCAUGAACAGAAAUCUGAUCGGCAGAGAUGGGAAAGGAGUUGGAAGUUGAAGGAUUCAGUGAGAUUGAGAUAUGGGCUGAAUACCACACCUUGGAAGUCCAAUAAUAAACUGACUCUGGAUCAUCAAUCUCCUUCCCAAGUCGAGCGAUCACCUUUGAUGGAGUCCAUUUCAUCCCCUGCAACAAGAGAGACAAUACAAUCACUACAUUCCAUGACAAGAACCUGAACUGCAAAAGCCAGUACAGUAUAAACUCAUUCUAAGCUUCUGAGCAAAUGAACAAAUCAAGUCAGUUCAUGGUCACUCAUAUUACAAGCUCCAACACUACGAAGCAUUAAUUUAACAAGAGGCCAUUCGGCCCCUCACAUCCAUUCUCAUUAACUCAGAUCCUGUAUCUGUAUCUCAACUUUAUUUCAUCUCCUUUGUUCCACAUUAUGGAUACCUGUUGCCAAUAAAAACUUAUUAAUUUU